rnacentral:lncRNA from 1 species
GAGUAAUGACAGUUUAGGUCUUUCGCUAUUCUACUGGGAUUCCAUGUAUAGUCUACAUGCUUCCUGAGGAAGACUUUUUUGUGUUCUUCAUUCUGCUUUCUGUACAAAUUGUCAGUGUACUCUCUUUCCAUGAGAAAUAGCCUUGGGAUCUUCACUUCCUGAAAGUGACUGCACAACUUUAUGUGUAUAAAUUAUGAGGAGCUCCAGUAGGCUGUAUCUUGCUAACAGCGGUCAGUGCUGUCUGGAAGGUUAAAGUCCCUAUUAAAGUUUGGAUGGGAGCCAGAAUGAUUUUCACUCCAUGUUAGAGACAACCUUCUAAUAAUAUCUUGUUACAAUGUGAGCCACUAUCAUUCAGCAGAGGGCACAUGUGGUACAAUAUCAUGUGAUUCAGUUACUGUUUCUUGAGUUCCUCCACCUAGUAAUGUAGAAAAAUAUUAAAAACUGACAGAAAAAAACGUAUAUAGGAUUCAAAUAUUCUUAUAUGAGUAGUUGAAUAAAAAGAGUCAAUUUUUUGCCUGGUUUAUAUAUAGUUUAUUAAUCUGUCUGGAAAUAGUAUAGGACUGUAUAGAAAUGUAUUUGUAGCACAAACAAAAUAAAGUAGUAUUAUUUAUGAAGCUGAUAGAGACAUCAGAUAUUGUUUAUUCGUGUGAAAUUAUUAUUUCCCUCUGCUAUAAUAAAAUAGAGAAGAAGGAAAAAGAUAAGAGGAAAGAGCUAGUUACAGUUCAAGGCAUAUAUUUCAGUGUAGUUAGCUUUUGCACAUAUAUGUAUGAGCUGUGCUGAAAACAGCAGCGUUCAGUCUAGAGAAGGAUUUUCCAAAUUAACCAUUUGAAUUUCUUAUAUAAGUGCUUAUCUGUGAGGAUGGUGAGUUUUGUUGAGAGCAAGAAUGCUUGGAUUGAUGAGGGAAAGCACGAGCAAUUGAAAACAGGUAUGUGGGCACACACAGGAGCCUACCAGGCAUAGUUUCUCUGCAGCUGGUCCCAUAGGUAUGUUUAGAAUGUGUCAUGGUACAGCACAUCUGCUGCUAUGUUAUGUAUUCCAUCAGCAGUUUUUACUUAGUCAUUUGUAUAGACUGACAUCCCUUAUGAGAAGAAAGUUACUGAUCUAUUAAUUUGAUAUACAUUAACCCUUGCAUGCAGUUUAUGGGUUAGCAUAUCUACAAGGUGACUGAGAUGAAGGAUUUUGCAAAAUGAAAUAAUAGAUUAUACCAGCACAAUCCAGUCAGACAUGUGGAAACAUAUACUGAUUUGCCUUUAUCAAAAACAUAUCAGUACUUAAAAGCUUUCUGUAGUACCCUACUACUGCUCAGCAAUUUGUUUUCACACAUGUAUUACUGCAUUAGGCAGAUCUGAGUGGUAACUUUCCUUAGUGAUGUUUUAGUCAUUGAGAGCUCCAGAGAACACUGACACUGAUGCCAGCUGUAUAUUGUAUGGUUUUGGUUUAGUCUACCUGACACAAACCUACUCAACUUUACAGAGGAAGAUGUGUAUUUCAGCAGAUCUGCAAUCCUUAAAAGGUCUGUUCCAGUAAAGCAUGUCUUUAUCAAGGGUUUUAUUAAACAGUAUUUUCACUUUUGCCCAUCAGUUUUUGCCUCCCACAGUGAACAAUAAGAUGAAGUUUUAAUGCAGUUUGCAUGCUUUUAUCAACACUGCCUUCAAAAAUAGUACUUUUCACCUCCAAAGGAGACACUAAAUCUCAGAAGUGCCAGCAAAUGUUUCUCUAAAUUGCUACCAACUUGCCUUUCUGUCAGAGUACAUGAGAAAAUCAGGAGAAAAAUGUGUUUUCUCCUCACAGAAGAAGCUCAGGCAUAGCCUGAAAGCUGCCUUGAAUCUUUGCCUUUCCCUGCUGAAGGUUAUACCUCUUGGCAAAAUUUAACCUGCAAUAUUCCAGUUGUUUGCACUCAUAAUACAAAGGACUAAAGUCCUAAUUUGCCUUGCAUAGAAAUUUUUACUUGUGUCCUUCAGCUCACUGAUCAUGUGCUAUCACAGUCAUUUGUGGACCUGUACUAUGAAUAGCAUCAGGAAUUUAGUCUGAUGAAACAGAAAAAUGGUGAAAAAGCAAAAAGGACUAUUGAAAAGAAAUAAACAGGAACAGCUCCUUAUGCCAGUGGAGGUGUUGAACCUUCUGCAUCAUGAAGUUGGGGUUUAAGACAGUCACUUUGGUGUCAAUGGGAAUAUAGCCUAAAGAACUUAACAACUUGCUGUGCAUUGUCAGGGAGAGGCAACAUUUGGUACAAGAAAAGCCAUACAGAAGCAUCUGUGUUUACAAACUUUAUGUUUUUAAGAUUUUCUGAGAAUGUGCAAAAGCUUUUCUGUAUCAACGCUGGAAUUUAUUGUAAUAAUAAUAAUGCCCCAUAAGUUUAAUUUUCAUUUAAUGGCAGUGAAUCUAGUAUUGAAUCUAGUAAUGAAUCUUAGGCAGACUUGCUAUUCUCCGUGUCAGUGCAGA